rnacentral:misc_RNA from 1 species
GAAAUGCGACAAGUAAUGUGAAUUGCAGAAUUCAGUGAAUCAUCGAAUCUUUGAACGCACCUUGCGCUCCUUGGUAUUCCUUGGAGCAUGCCUGUUUGAGUAUCAUGAAAUCUUCAAAGUAAAUCUUUUGUUAACUCAAUUGGUUUCUACUUUGGUAUUGGAGGUCUUUGCAGCUUCACACCUGCUCCUCUUUGUUCAUUAGCUGGAUCUCAGUGUUAUGCUUGGUUCCACUCGGCGUGAUAAGUUAUCUAUCGCUGAGGACACUGUAAAAGGUGGCCAAGGUAAAUGCAGAUGAACCGCUUCUAAUAGUCCAUUGACUUGGACAAUACUUUUAUGAUCUGAUCUCAAAUCAGGUAGGACUACCCGCUGAACUUAAGC